UACGUAGGGUGCGAGCGUUAAUCGGAAUUACUGGGCGUAAAGCGUGCGUAGGCGGUUCGUUAUGUCUGCUGUGAAAGCCCGGGCUUAACCUGGGAAUGGCAGUGGAAACUGGCGGCUUGAGUGUGGCAGAGGGGGUGGAAUCGCGUGUAGCAGUGAAUGCGUAGAGAUGCGGAGACACGAUGCGAGCAGCCCCCCUGGCUGACACUGACGCUCAGGCACGAAGCGUGGGAGCAACAGG
rnacentral:rRNA from 1 species